UACCGGCGGCCCGAGUGGCGGUCCCUAUUAUUGGGCUUAAAGCGUCCGUAGCCGGGUUGGGAAGUCCUCCGGGAAAUCUGGCCGCUUAACGGUCAGAAUGCCGGAGGAUACUCCCAGCCUAGGGAGCGGGAGAGGCCGAGGGUAUUCCCGGAGUAGGGGUGAAAUCCUAUAAUCCCGGGAGGACCACCUGUGGCGAAGGCGCUCGGCUGGAACGCGUCCGACGGUGAGGGACGAAGGCCAGGGGAGCAAACCGG
rnacentral:rRNA from 1 species